UUCCCGUGUUUGUAGUAACUGAUAAAACAUGAAACUAAUUCUCCUCGCGCUCUUAGUUUUGAUUUCAGUCUGGCAAAUACCAGCCGAGGAAACACUCGAACCAUUAGAAUCGGAACCGAUCGAAAUAGAUCUGAUGAACGUCAAGCGCGCAAUCCCAUCGAAUGUUUAUACAAAUAUGUUCAAACGGUCUCCACAAAAAUGCGUUGGGAGUGUAUGUUGUGGUGAGAUUGGCGAGGAUUGUUUUGUGCGAGAGUCGAAAGGGAAACCACAUCCAUCCAAAUGAAAAAUGAUUGACUUAUGCAUUAUUACAUAUAUUAGAAACAAGCAAAAUAAAAAAGCAUAUGAAAAAUAUAUAAAGUAGCUCACUCUGCUCUCCGUUA